rnacentral:rRNA from 1 species
GAUGAACGCUGGCGGCGUGCCUAAUACAUGCAAGUCGAGCGAACAGACGAGGAGCUUGCUCCUCUGACGUUAGCGGCGGACGGGUGAGUAACACGUGGAUAACCUACCUAUAAGACUGGGAUAACUUCGGGAAACCGGAGCUAAUCCCGGAUAAUAUAUUGAAGCGCAUGGUUCAAUAGUGAAAGACGGUUUUGCUGUCACUUAUAGAUGGAUCCGCGCCGCAUUAGCUAGUUGGUAAGGUAACGGCUUACCAAGGCAACGAUGCGUAGCCGACCUGAGAGGGUGAUCGGCCACAUUGGAACUGAGACACGGUCCAGACGCCUACGGGAGGCAGCAGUAGGGAAUCGUCCGCAAUGGGCGGAAGCCUGACGGAGUAACGCCGCGUGAGUGAUGAAGGUCUUCGGAUCGUAAAACCCUGUUAUUAGGUAAGAACAAAUGUGUAAGUAACUAUGCACGUCUUGACGGUACCGAAUCAGAAAGCCACGGCUAACUACGUG